GACGAACGCUGGCGGCAAGCUUAACACAUGCAAGUCGAACGCCGUAGCAAUACGGAGUGGCAGACGGGUGAGUAACACGUGGGAACGUGCCUUUCGGUUCGGAACAACUGAGGGAAACUUCAGCUAAAACCGGAUACGCCCUUCGGGGGAAAGUUUACGCCGAAAGAUCGGCCCGCGUCAGAUUAGGUAGUUGGCGGGGUAAUGGCCCACCAGGCCGAUGAUCUGUAGCUGUUCUGAGAGGAAGAUCAGCCACACUGGGACUGAGACACGGCCCAGACUCCUACGGGAGGCAGCAGUGGGGAAUAUUGGACAAUGGGCGCAAGCCUGAUCCAGCUAUGCCGCGUGGAUGAAGAAGGCCUUCGGGUUGUAAGGUCCUUUCGGCGGGGAAGAUAAUGACGGUACCCGCAGAAGAAGCCCCGGCUAAUUUCGUGCCAGCCGCCGCGGUAA
rnacentral:rRNA from 1 species